UGUCUAGAUUGUAGUUAUGGAUAAUUUCGCUGAAGAUCAUCAAGUCCCAAAUGGAGCGGAAGGUCAUAUGGCAGAUCAUGUAUGUCAAAGUUGUUUGUAUAUAGAAAAGAAUUCAUUGCCAUGGGUGGUUACCUCACUGAUGCGGGUGAGGUUUCCCUAGAGAGUGGAACAUUUCAUUUAAGCCGUUGCUAUUCAUGAAGAUCAAAUAUUUCAGAAACGAGUUCGGAUUCAGCAGGUUAAGUUAGACCAGUCUGGAUACAAGGAAAGGUCUUGAAAUAUGUGGAAGGCCUUUGUUGGGUUUGCAGGUAUUACUAUCAGGGUGUAUGUUCAUGACAAUGGUUAGUCUCACUUUUAUUAGUUAAUACUCUCUCCAUUUCUAUUUAUAAGGCCCCUUAGAGACAUUUUAUUCAAUUAUUUUGUAAGUUGUACUUGAUCGUAUACUCUUUUACGAUUUACUUGUUUGGACAUGUUAAUGUGACCUCCUACUUCUAUUUUGUAAGUUUCUUUUUAUGAA